GGCGGUGGCCAGCCGAUGGCUUCGGGUGAUGCCAACCGGGACGGCAGCGCAUCCUCGGGAGAGGAGGCGGGAGGAGGAGAAGGAGAGGCCUGGCGGCGGGUGAGGAAGUCUCACUGGCGAGCGGGCUCACGCCGCCGCCUGGCGCGUGGUUUGGAUCGGGGCACUUCCCCGCGGACGAGGAGCGAGCGGACGAAACACGGUCCCGCACGCCGCACCAUGCUGCCUGUUGACGGACGUGAGGGCCACCGCACGGACGCGAGCACCACCAACCCUCCUCUGACGCGUGCGAGAGCAGGCGCCCCGGCCGCCCCCGUCGCGCCAUCUCUGAUGGAUGCGAGAGCAGGCCGCCACUCCUCCGACGAGAAGGCCGUGGCCCCAAUCACGGCUACUCCUCUGCUGCCCCGCGUACGCCGCCGCUCUUCUUCUGACGGACGGGAGAGCAGGCCGCCGCCCCCGCCGCUUCCCCUCCGACGGAUGCGAUAGCAGGCCGCCAUCUCCGCCACUCCUCUGCUGUCCCAUGUACGCCACCGCCGAACAAACAGCACGGCCGCCUGCGCCGCCGACCGCCGCUUCUCAUCGUCUGCAACGACGAAUCUGCUGCUAAUUAAGGUGAUUGGUUCCUUGCUUCUUCUAACUACAACGUGCUGGCUUGCUUUUUCUAAGCGCCGGAAUGCCGGAUCGAUGUUCUUGCUUGCCUUAUCUCACUAUUGAAGCUUUGUGUGGGAUUACCAAGUUGUGAAUUAUCAGGAUUCAGUUCCUGCGGGCACCAUUUAUUUAUUGUGGUGAACACAUAGGACAGAUACACAUCGUGUGUUGCAGAGUUUCAGCGUGCUUCUUCGUUUUGGGAUAUGGGGAGGAUAGAACAGAUACAUAGAUUGCUGUCGCACUCACCAAAGGGAAGAUUGCUGAGUACUUCGCCUAAAUCCAGUGCAAACGACCACCAUGUUCGCCAAGAAGUGGACGAACACCCAGGAGAUUAAGAUUGAUGGUGGAAAACAUUAAUGCUAUGCCACUAUUGUGAAGCAAUUGUGCCUCUCUUGCAUAGGACAAUUCGUUUUGUGUAUAUGAACGUCUUGGAUGCAGUGCAGAAACCAGAUCGAGGCUAUAUUCAGUUCAUGGACUGCUCCAACAACUAUUAUCUCUGGUGUGCUUCCUGAUCUUGUUGCAAGGACAAAUUUAGUCUUCUCCUUUGACUACUAAUCCUUUUUCUUAUAUGUAGGCUUUGUAUCAUGUCCUUUUGAUUAAGUCUGCAAUUUCAUCUUCUUGAUUGUUAUUUCCUUUUAUGUUAAUGUGAGCUUUAUUUAAUUCAUCAUAUACCUAAUAAGUUAGCAAGAAACUCAUGUAUCUCUAAGACUGAAACGAGUAUUGUAAUAACGGAUCAUUGUCACAACCCUUUUCUUGGUCUCGGCCUAUUAAGAAUGAGGCUAAUUUCAAAGUUAGCCAGAAA